CAUUGAAAGGAUGCACUCGUUACUAGGAUGGUAACGACAACGGAAUGACAAUGGACUCCUCUGGAUGAGGCAAGGAUUGAACAUCAGGAUGAUGUCAAGGACACUGCUCAGGGAACAAGUAAGCGAACUAACAGGAUGGUUAGUCGAUCAGGAUGAUAAAGGACACCGCUAGGAAGGCGAUGGACGGAUUACGCUAAAGGAUAUGGCAUACUAUCAAGGAAUUGAUGCAGGGAGCACCGAUUGAGUAGCUGGAUUGCUGCAAGUAAGACCCUAACCCCGCAGGCUUUGCCCGCGGGGUUUUCUUUUAUC
rnacentral:other from 1 species